UGGUUAUUCAAUGUCUUCAGGCCUCACAGGAUGAGGUAAUGGUAUGAUGGAUUUCUUCUCAGUGUCUCUGGAAAGUGCUUUCCUCAUAUCUGUUAGGAAGCAAAAUUUAAUGAGCACUAUGAAAAAAAAUCACUGGGAUGCAAAGGGCGAUGUUGACAGAGAAUUUGGGAACAUCUGCAACAGUGUCAAGAACACCAAAAAAAAACAAAAACAAAAACAAAAACAAAACAAAAAAAACAAACUUAAGGGCUAGUCUUGGAUUGCAUCUAUUACCCAGCAUAUAAGCCCAUGGCAGGUCACUUACUUUGCCUGAAUUUUCCUCAAUGGCAAAAUAGGGACAAUGCUACUACUCUGAAUAUGUGAAUACACAACUACUGAUGAAAAUGAAAAUCCUGCAAACUGAAGCACAAUAUUCAGCCUGAACAGAAAAAAAACUUAGACAUUUUCACCAUGAAAAAAAACCAAAUAGGGUGCAUAAAUUAUUACUUGAAAAGCAGGAUCUCACCUUUCUGAAAUCUCCUCUAAUAACUCCAUAAGUUUAGCAGCCAAACCAAGGCGUCGAAAUUCUGGGGCGACAGAGAGAGCAGUGACGUGCCCGUGCCAUUCUUCCCUAGCUACUGAGCCUUCUGCUUUACCCAUGACUGCCAAUAAAAGAUUGCACUAAUUAAACACAUGGAUUUAUACAUGAAUACAGAAUGACUGUUGGUACAUUUUUAUUAUAAAGGACACUAAUGAUGAAGUUUUAAUUUUUAAGUAACACGUAGUCAUCUAGCUAAUAGUUAUAGUGCUCUUAUUUGACUCUCACUUAGAGAAAAGUUUCUUUUUUUAAAGGAAUGAUACACUAAAAACAACUAAUUUUGAACACAAUCAGAAUAUCUAUUUUUUAAAAUAUCUACAUUUCAUGUAGGUAUGUAUGUGUACACAAAACUUGAGUCCACAGCUCAAAUUUUUGUUAGUAAUGCCACUAAUUCAAUGAAGAUUCUGUAAUUCCUGUGUUAUGUACCAAAAAACCAUGCAGAAAUAUAAGCACAGAAUGAAAGAUCCAUGAAGCCUGAGACCUUGUCUGUCUGUGUCCCCUGGGGCCUAGAGCACAAUGCCUAAAAUAUAGAAAGCAUGGGUGAGCUGUCAGUGGUUAAAGGAAAUAAAAUUCUAGGCAGCAUGAUUACAUUUCCACUUCUGCAAUCAAUCUAAAACAAUCAGUUGAAACCUACAUUAAACUCUCAACUGCCUACUCAAAAAAGUUCUAGUGGUAUUAUACUUACUAUAACCCAUUAACUCUCCACCAGGUGCCUCCGCAACAAUGAAGUACUCUGGCCAGUGGGCGAGGUACUGUAAGUAAAAAGGAAUCCCAUACUAGAGUCUCGUUAAGGAGUGUGGAAAGUGAAAAUACAAAGUUCUUCAUAAAAGAAACAUUGUGAAGAAAGGUUCCUUUGAAAAUAUAUUGUUACUUUAUCCCCAGCUCAAUAUAUGUGUGAUCUGUAUAUUCAUGUCAGUACAUUAUUUAGGUUAGCACUAAUAAUUGAUAACAAAAUUGCCUGAAUAUGUAAGUUCAAAAAUAGGAGUGGAGACAACACCAUCUGACAGCAGAGAACCAGGAGUCUGAAGUUCUAUCAUCUGUGUCCAUACUGAUCACAUUGUAUCUAAAUCUCUGCACAGCACUUACCAGCCAGCACUGGAUAUUGUUCACUCUCUCCCUCCCUUUUGGAUAUGAAUGUCAUGUUCACUCUAUCCCUGGUGCUGAGCACAAAGUAGAUGCUCAAUACAUUUGUUUUUCCAUAAUUGCACUAGAAAAUUAAUGAUUAGUUCCUACUUCAGCUGUGUGGCUGUGAAAAUAACUAAAAGUUAAGUAUUUCCAGAGUCAUCAAUUACCUAGUGUUUCCCCUGUACUGAUUCAAAUUCUCCCUUUCUGGUACUGCAAAUAAAUGCUGACUUAAGAGU